CCCCUAGACGUUCUGGGCUGCACGCGCGCUACAAUAAUACGCACAGCGAGUAUCACCGAGCUCGAAAGGGCAAGGUAAACAAUAGAAAAGGUACUGUAAUGGUUAUAGAUCCUUGUAAUUAUUGAUCUUCAACGAGGAAUUCCUAGUAAGUAUGUGUCAUCAUCACGCACUGAUUACGUCCCUGCCCUUUGUACACACCGCCCGUCGCUCCUACCGAUUGGGUGAGCCGAUGAAACUCUCGGAUGUAGGCUAUCCAUAGCCCGCAGAAGAGAUUUGAAUCGUAGCGCUUAGAGGAAGGAGAAGUCGUAACA
rnacentral:rRNA from 1 species